rnacentral:rRNA from 1 species
UACGAAGGGGGCUAGCGUUGCUCGGAAUCACUGGGCGUAAAGCGCACGUAGGCGGAUCUUUAAGUCAGGGUGAAUCCUGGAGCUCAACUCCAGAACUGCCUUUGAUACUGGGGAUCUCGAGUCCGGAAGAGGUGAGUGGAACUCCGAGUGUAGAGGUGAAAUUCGUAGAUAUUCGGAAGAACACCAGUGGCGAAGGCGGCUCACUGGUCCGGUACUGACGCUGAGGUGCGAAAGCGUGGGGAGCAAACAGG